rnacentral:lncRNA from 1 species
AGUCAUCAGUAUUAAAUCUCCUACUUCUUAUAUACACAGUUUUUAUAAUUUCGUACGCAAUCACUUUCCCAUCCCAAAUAAAAGGGCAAUUGUUUAUAUAUUUUUUUCUAAAAAAAUUGGACUUUUUUAUUUACCCUUCCUAAAAAGUUAAUAUUAAAAAUAUUUUUUCAAUGUUUCAAAAUAUUUAAAUAUAUUUUUUGAGUUAAAUUUUAUCAGUGAACUAUUAGCAACAUCCAUUAUCUCUGUAAUAUUAUUAUUUUAUCAUUUUAAAUAUAUAUUUCUCUCGUCAUCCAUUUUUCUUAUUUGCCAUUAAGUUAGGAACAAAAAAAAAAAAAUUUAAUUUUUUAUCUUUUCAAAUAUCUUUAUUUUAUUAUUACCAACUUUUUUUAUUAAUUAUAAUAAAGUCUAUCAAGCAGUCAUAAAAUGAACAGUCAAAAUCGAACGACGUUUUAAAAAUAGAUGAUCGGAUCCUUUAAUUUAAAAUCGGAGUUAUUAAUCUUUAUAUAAGUAGUGAAUAGAAUUUUCUAUAAAAAAUUCAAUUUAUUCUAAUUUUUUUGCACCAUUUAACUAAAAAGUAUUUCAUACCGGUCGUUAAAAAUUAUCAAUUUUGUGACUUUUUUAUCGUAAGAUAAAUAAUAUCGAAAAAUUAUAAAAUUUGAUUUCAAAAAGCAUUAAAUACUCUAAAUAAUGUUUAACGGUAUGAAUCGUCGAUACAGAAAUUUUAUGAUAAAAACGACUUAUAAAUACGAGAGUCAUACUCUAUAUCGAUAUAUUCAUUGUUCGCUUCUUGUUGAUUUGUUUGUUUGCUGUUUGUGUUGGCGGGUGUGUACGUACAUAUAUCAUAUACAUAUACAUAUUAUAUUUAUAUAUGUAUAUAAUAAUAAGAACUAGGCCGGAGUACUAUUAAUAGCACCAAUGACUUUGUGCUAUUAAGUUUUCUACUCUUGAAUUAAAAGAUGUGCGGUGAGGAUGAUGUGGGCCUCCUAGGGUUGAGUAGGUGGUUAGUUGAAUAGUAUAAUCAAACGGAUGAAAAUGAUAAAAAAAGUAAAUCUAACGACAGAAAACUUGAUAACACAAAAUGCUUCAUACUAUCGAUAGUAUCUCAGCCGGACUCAUAAUAAUAAUAAUAAUAAUAAUAUGUAUAUGUAUGCAGUGGCAUGAGUGGGUGGUGACGUGGAGGGAGGAAGGGAUGAAUGGCGGGGCCCACGCGGGGCUGCUGCUGGCGCGGACGGUGGAGAUCUGCGCGGGCCGGUCGAGCGCCUCUUCUUCUACGCCCUCCCCCACUCCACCUCCCACUUCGUCGCCCCCCGCCUCACCCGACUCGCCUCCUCCCUCUCCCACCUCCUCUCCCUUAGGAGGACAAUGACAACGGCGACGACAACGACAAUGACGACCCUCUCCCCACAGGUAACAUUACAUUAAGGAUAAAUUUUAGAUAUCAUCUCCGUAGUUUCGUACUUUCUCACUCUAGUAUUCUAUUAUGUGGUUUUUUUCUCUCCCUUCGUCAGCUUCUCCGUCAACAUUUCGUUAAACAGUUAUAUACAAAAAACUUCAGAUACUCCACCUAGGUUUAUCGAGUAUUUAUUUUAGUAUCUUUUAGUUUUAACUUUGUCAUUAAUUUAAAGAAAAAAAAUUAGUGGAUGGAAUAAUAAGAAGAGAAAAAUAAAAUCACGGGGUAUUAAAUUGAUACACUUUAAACCACAUAAUAUUAAAAUAAAAAAAGUACGAAACCACAUGAAUGAUAUCUGAAGUUUUUUUUUAUAUUAAGAUGUCUUUCCUUUCCUUUCGUCUAAUUACUUUUCACAAACAACUAUUCCAAAAGUUUUGAAUUCUGGAUUUGACCCAUUUCAAGAUAAACUAUUCACAACCCUCUCUCAAACAAAUACCUUUUCCUCCUCUCCCUGAACCAAAACCAUUUAUCAAAGUCCUAUGCUUCCUAAUUAUUAUUCAUUAUGAUCUUAUUCCAACAAUUUAACCAAAGAUUUUUGAAUGAUUCGUCACCUUCAUUUCGCAUUCCAAUGCAAUCUAAUUUUACUUUUAAUUUUCGGUUAGAGCAAACUUGCAAUAACAUCAAAUCAUUGAGAUUUCUAAUGGUAAUAAGGUUUGUGUAGGAUUGUCAUUGUAUUUUUUUUGUUCGCGAAUCAGCUUAUAUUUCGAUCAUAGUGGGUGCAGUAAGGAUUUGCUUAGCUGGCUCACGUAACAAACUAGUUGAGCCUAAACUUAGUCAAGUGCGCGUGUUCAGCUCUAUUAAGCUUGGAUUAUAAAAGUUAACCAAAAAAAAAAAAAACCCUAAAAAAUUUGCUAUUAAAAAUUUUCAAUUUAUUAUUUGUAGUGGAAAAUAAUUGUAAGUGCUAUAGUAGUGUAAAAUGAUAAAUAAAGAUUACUAGUUUGGAAGUAUCUUUCUUAGCUAAACUCUUAGAUCCUUUUUUUGUGCGCAGCUCGUAUUCCACUUGUAGAUAGCCUUUCUAUUAUAACUAAGUUAAAAGUUGGGUUUGCUUUAGCUCGUUCGUGUUCGUCUCGUUUACUCCCCUAGCCUCCGUUUGGUUAGGGGUUAAGGGGUGAAAUAACCCCUUAACCCCCAUUUUAUCCCCAAACACUUCUAAAAAUGAGUGGGGUUAGCUAACCUCACCUCAAAUGGGUUAUCCCGGGUUAGCUAACCCUACCUAAUCCCACCAAAUUCCAACCAAACACUAUUGUUUAUUCAUAAUAACCCACUAUCCUUUUUAUCCCACAUACUCUAAUCAAAUAUUAUUUUUCACUAUUCUGGACUAACUCCAAUCCCCAACCAAACACAAAAAUACUCUAACUCCACCUUAACCCUAAACUUAACCCUAUCCCUAGAAUAACUAGUUUUUCCUUAACCCCGAACCAAACGGUAGCCUAGAGAUGAGAAAGGUUCUAUCAGGAGUCACAGAUUCAAUAGAAAACUCAAAAAAGAGUCUAGAUUUAAGAAGCCAAAUUAUCAAUUUUUAACAAACAAGAACGACCAACAAAAAUAUAUAUAUAAAUAAAAAUAAAAUUCUCUCUAUGUCAUCAUCGGCCACAAGCCAAUCAAAUUUUGCCGAAUAAGAACAAAAUUCAUUAAUAACAAUUUUUUUUUUUUUUUUUUUUUUUACCAUCUUCGUCGAACUUAGGAUGGGACGCUUUAAUCUAUCAUUCAUCAUACACCGUGUUUGAAUUUUACCGACUUAGGAUUGGACAGUCUAAUCAACCGUCCAUCAUGCUCAUCUCUUGAAUUCUAAAGCACGAUGGACGGUGGAUUCGACUGUCCCACCGUGAGGGAGUCCCAAUAUAAUUUUCCUUUUGAGGAUCACAUGUAGAUACUAGUGAGUGUACCAGUGAAUGUAGAUAAUAAUGGCAAAAUUGUACCACAAUCUAAUUGAAAAGUAUUACUUGGUGCACAAAACGGGAAGAUCCAGUGUUUUAAAAAUUGGGUCGAAUAGCGAUGCAAAAAGUUUACUGGGUCAAAUAUUUGAACCACUGAGGUCAUCAUGAUAUCAUAUGCAUAUUUAAUUAUUGCUUAAAAUUUUAUUAUAUUACAGUUAUAUAUUAUUGUUCUAGUAUCAUAUUUAAUUAUAAAUAUAAAUUUUUAAACCAAAUUUAAGUAAAUAUAAGUUUUCAAGUUUCACUCUUUAUAAGACUUAUUUGUACUAAUAAAGAGUAAAAUCAGCUAAAUUAAUUUUAAAUUGUUGGAUUUUAAGAUGACCAAUAAAAAAUUCUGGCCGAUUUAAUUAAAAUAAAACCAGUUCACUGUUUUGAUGGUUGAAAAUUAUACGGUUCAAAGGAUUGAAUCGAAUCGUGGUCAGAUCGGUUCGACCCGAUUGGGAAGUUCUUUAGUUGGUUCAACACCGAAUACUAAUUUGAGAUUUUGGGAUACUACUUAAGGUUCUGCUGAAACACUGUAUCAAAAAUUUCCAAUAGAUAAUUUCUGCAGCACAAAAGAAGAAGCAAUAAAAUUGAAGCUACUGGCUUUUCAGUCAGAUCCCAUUUUUUAGCUCUCUCUAUAACUUUUUAAGCCCAAUGCUGAUCGAAAACUGAAGCCGAAAGCAGAAGCAAAAUCAGGGACUAAGCGGUUUGAUUGGCCGACCUGAAGGUUUAGCGAACCAGAAAGUCAAAUAAUUGUUUCAUUAACAUUCUAUUUUUGCCAUCUGAUCUUAUUAUACUAAUUGGCUGUCAGAAGACUCAGAACCAUGUUUAACAGUGCAUGAGCAAAGUUCAGUUUGUUUCAUUUCAUGGCUUAGAGAAAUACUCUGUUAGUAAUUUAGUAAUCUCCAUUUUCUUCUAACUGCUGAGUUAAUCUCAUUCAUUCCAUCUGACCAGGGCGCGGCAGAGAAGGACACAAUCGUAAACAAAAUCGACGAGGAAGUUGAUUCAGGGAUGCAAGAGCUAGUUCAGUGUGUUCUCCAAAGUUCCAAUAACCUCAACAACAAGACCAAGCAAACAUUCCUGAGUGUAGUGAAAAGCUUCUAUUAUCUUGCCCAUUGCCCUUACGCCACUCUCAAUACCCAUAUCUCCAAAGUGAUCUUCGACAGAGUGGUUUAAACCAGAUUCGAUUCGAUACAAGCAUCAUAUUUUCAGCGUAUGUAUUGCAUAUAUAUAUAUAUAUAUGUAUGUAAGGGUCACCAUGAGUUCAGAAGCAACUAUUUUUAGCAAAUUCUCAAAUACCAAAUAAAAGUAAACAAGAAAUAGUGGAGGUUAAAAUCAGUCGUACUCGAGUUCGUCGGGCGUGAUGGCUCUUUUGAGUGGGAUAAUGGAUUUCUUUUCGACAUCUCGCGACAAUGCCUUCCUCAUAUCUGGAAUAAAUGCGAAAGCAGUAACAUCACAAGCAGAAUAAAAUCCAUACUGAAAAGGACGCAAUCGCAACAUCUAUCAAAGUGGCGCCAGUUUGAUCACUUACCUAGCCCAUCUUCUUCUCCAGAGUAAUAUCGCAGCACCCUUCGAUAAACCACAUAGCCAAGCUGUAGUGGGGACAGAGGGAAAAUUAAUAAUAAUAAUAAUAAUAAUAAUAAUAAUAAUAAUUUAAACUCCCAUAAACAAAUCUGUAACAGCAAAUAACUUUACUGUUAAAUAAAAGUUUCAAAACUCAUAUUCUCAACUAACAUGGAUUAGAGAAAUGGGAAAUACGGAAAACAAGGAGCAACAAAUUCUGGGUGUUUUAUUCGCCCCAUAGUUUAAACCAGUUCUGAAAAAUGGAAGAAGCUUUUUCGCAAUUAUGCGUAAAAAAAGCGACUAAAGAAAUGAUUAACCUGUAUGUAUUUACAAAGAUUUGAAGGGUUUGUGGACCCUAUACACUUUUACUGCCCAUACUUGUUGUGGCAUAAUGGGGGGGGCUUGUGCAUUCUUCACUUUUACUAGGAUAGAUUUUUAAGUACAUAUAUUAUAUUAAUUGUCCCUGCCAUAAUGUUACCAAAGAAUUAACAUAACGACCGUCCAAAACCAGCAUGCCUUUUCCCGAAUAAUCAGGACCGUUCAACUCACCAUUCUCAAGUAACCGGAUGGUCAGAUGCCCUCUUUAACCUAUCAACUAAUCACAACCAUCCGCAGAAGACGACAAAAAAUAGUCUACAAUCAGUAGAUUGUCCAGUCUUUUUUAACAGAAAUCCCAAAGCAUACUCAUAAUGCCUCGGUCCGAUUCAGCUGAUAUUACCAACUAGGGAGAAUCACAUCAUUAAAAGUAGUAGAAAAGAGGAGAAAGAUGAAAAGAGGAUGAGGUUAACCUAUAAAGGAUGGAAAAAAGCAUUACCUUUUCAUACAUUUUGAUGGCCGGCAUGUUCGAUGCCCUCACAAAGAGAUCCACAAAGUAAGCCUUAUCCCUGCAGAGGAGAGAGAAAAGCUUUCCUUAGUGCAUGAGGGGUGCAAUCAUCACAGUUAGAACACAACUAUCAGGACCCAACAUGGCCCCAUCAUAGCUCAGAGCAUGGCCUGCUUGACUAAAUAACGAAAUUAGAUUAUAAGUAUAUUAAUAAAAUAUGGCAACAACAAAAAAGGGCAGAUUGCCUUCUGCUAUGGGCAUGUAUGCAUGUGAAAGAGCUGCUUCAAAUAAACAGAGUAUACCCUGUGGUCACCAUACAUUAUGCAUGCAUACACAGUAUGUAUGUACGUAUGUACAUAUAUAUGUACUUGUGGAGAGAGAGAGAAAGAGAGAGAGAGAGAGAGAGAGAGCUAUACUCCAGAAGAUUUGGGCUCAAAUUCUAUUCAAAAUUGAUUUUAGAAUUUCUUUUUUUUUUUUUGAAUGUAAGACACAAGGUGAUUCCUUGUGUAAUUCCUUUAAAAGGAUCAAAAAAAAAAAACAUAAUUUUAACUCACAUCCGCACACAACCACUACCUAAAAGGUCAAUGGUGAACUCAAAUUAAUCGAAAAAAUAGAACAAGGGAGAGAAAAAAAAGUAUAAACUAGCCAAACUACAUGAAAGAAAGAACAAGAAAGAAAAAAACACAUACAGAGCACUCAAUGCAAGAAAAGAAAGCCAUGCUCCGCCACCCACUAGAAGGAAGGAAACAAUAAAACAAAUGGCCCUCUACAUACAACGCAAUCAACAUCUAAAAUAAACAAUGUCACUUUCACGAGAAGAGCCACAGGAAGAAAAAUUCCUCACUCCUCGAUUUGUCAAACAUCUUCGACCAUCACGGGGCACCACUCGAUCUGUCCAAGAUCUUCGACAGUUAGGGGACACUCCAGACUCUAACUCGAGGCCAUAAGGCUCAUAAAUCUUAUGGGCAUUACCAUUGAGGGCAGAAAAUAAUAGAACUAGAUGGACUAAAUACGUACUUCGCAUGCUUAGUCUCCUUCAUUCAAUCUAAGAUACUACGAUAUAAGUUAGCGAAUUUUAAAGAGAUACGAGCACUACUCUUAAGGGGACUAGACGGAAGCAAGUACACGGAGCAGAGGGCAAAGAAUCAAAAUGGAGAGAGGGGAAGAGCAGCCAGGAAAAGUAGGAAAAGGUUCCAAAGGUUCCGAUGCAAGUAACACAGAAGCCUGAUUGGGAGGUAGAAGAGAAAGUGAUGAAUUAGUUGAGGGGUAAAGAGGAGGUGAAGAAGCAUAAAACCGUCCAAAAGAAGAGAAGAGAAAUGCACCUCGACAGUGGAAAUGAUGUAAAGAAUUUGAAAACUUACGAGCAGUUUUCCACAAAAAAAAAAAAUUAUCAAUGCAUCAAGUGGAGACAAAAAUGAGCUAUGUAAAUUGAAAAAUCUUUCUAAACAUAGAAUAGGAUUCAUCUGUUAAAAAUCCUAGCCAUUAAACUAAUAAACAUCUUUGUUACAAUAUAUUUUAUCUAUAUUAGGAUGUUACGAUAUAUUUGGAUAUUGUGUAUUAUUGCCUUAUAUAGAGUAGUAUCAUUGCCUUCUAUAGAGUAGGAUUAUAUAGUAUGUAAUCCUAGUUAUACUCUUACUAUAGUAGUCAUUGUUACUAUAGUAAGACAAUCUCUUGUACUAUAUAUAUUCAUUAAUACAACUCAAGAGGGUAUGCACUUUAGCCCUUCUUUCAAUCUUAUUUAAAUUGAACUGAAUAAUAUUUUCUAAUAGCUUUUUCAACUAUUCAAAUCAUGUUUAAACAUCAAACUAGAAAACUAUAAAUGGUCAAAAUUCUCGCACUUGAUGCAUAGGCAAAAAGUGUAAAUGAAAGAUGAAUUUUAAUUCUUGUUACUUCAAAUACUCGAGAUCAUCGUCAACAAUAUGGAUCAUCAAUUCACUUGCUCUAAAGAUCAAUUUUGAGAGUGGAAGAAUUUAAGCCCAAAUCGUCUCAAGUGUAGUCCACCUGGCAACAUUAGUAAGUAAAAUAGAAGUGCAUUCAAUCAUUCAGUAACUUGUCAGUCAUCGGACUAUUUUCAGCUGAAUUGUGUUUAUGAUCUAUUGUAGUUUAUAAGAGACAAAGUGUUGAAUAUCCACGUGAACACCACAUGACACCAUUGAACUAUCACUUUCAGAUUAUAAAACAAAAUUAACUACAUAGGUGUGACGCAUGAGUUUUCGUUGCUCCAGGUGAUAGAACCAAUGAAUUAUAGCUUGGAGCCACUGGAGACAACAUAACAAACUUUACCAAAUUCACAAAAAAAAGAGGAGAAACUGUUACGAACUGUCCAUUUCCGCCUAGUCAAGUUGGGCUGGGUCAAGAUCAAUUUGAGUUCUAGUAUGACUUUAGUCUCAGUGGAGUCUUAUUUGACUUAGUUUGAGUUCUAGUUGAUUUAUUAGUCCCAGUUGAGUUCCUCUUUAUUUUCCAUAAUUAGGAGUAAAGUCCUACUUUUAUUGCUUCAUGAUAUGAGGCCUAUAAAUGAGAAACUGGUCUUUCAUCGUAAUGUAUGAUUGAAGAGAUUAAUAGAGUAGAAUAGUUUAGUAACGAAGGCACUGUAAUCCCUCGAAGAAUCACAAUGUGUGCUAGGAAGAGACCAAACCCUAAAAAUUUGGUAUCGAAGCCAUUGCUAGGAGUGCGAGAUCCUAAUACAAAAAAUCUUACCUGCUUGUAUGAAGAAGGCCAAACUAUUGUAGAACCACGACAACACAAAGAAGAGGUCAAUUAGAAAUGAGCAUGCAACCACUGAUUUGGAUUCAAAUAUGGUUAUUUUACUUCUGUUAAAUAAUUUCCCCAAAGAAGUACAUCACAUAAUUCUCCAUAUUCAUUGUGAAGUUAACUUUUCCACAUAAUAACACUUCCUUCCAUAUGAGAAACGUGGUUCACAUUGAGAUGACGCAUUUUCACUACAUAUAUUCAUGCACAUUACCUAUUAAUUGACCACAAAAAAUAACUGAAUCAAAAGGAACCUCAACUUGGGUUUCAGGACUACAUUAACUUCCGACAACUUUGCUACAACCAAAAGGUUAUCCAUGUCAUUUGGCACAACUUCUAUCAAUAUUCUCUUCUCUCAUAUCCUUCCAGACAAAUUCAGACACCUCUUGUCACCAUUCAUUCCAGAUAUUUGCUCUGGUAUCCAGGUUGUAGACUUAUGAUACUCUAUAGAUUUCGUCCUUCACUCACUUCUUGCAUGCACAAUGUUAGUUUGAGGCCAACAAGAAGUGGCCCUAUUGAGUUGUCAAUAACUUUUUUAGCCACAAUAAUAUUUAUCAACAAUUCAGGCUCACAGCAUUACAAUACAAUAAUGGGUGUAAAUCUUUAUUUUGAUCUAGAGACUGAUGGAUUUGAUAUAAUUUAGUCAUUGCUCAACUAUGGGAGUCCCGAGUCAUCAAAUGGAAGUAUUAGAUUAGUACUCAGCAUUCAACAACAACACAUGCCUCAUUUAGAUUUGUUAAAUUAUUUGUCCUCUGAAUUUCCUCCUAACACUUCUACAAUUCUUCACUCAACUUAUAUGUGCAUUUCAACUUCAGACCUCUAACCUGCAUUUAUCUGUCUUGAUAAGAAUAUAUCAUGCAUAAAAUAGCAGAGAACAAAAAAAGUCUAAUGUCUUUAGUUUCCUCUACUAGCCAUUGUUUAUGUACAAGCAAGUGGAGUUUCCGAGGCUUCCUCCAUGUAACAGAAAUAUAUGGUCAGAUCUCUUCCUUCUCUGAGAUAUGUUAUUCUAUAUUACCUCUAAUAAACACAAAAAUGUAGAAAAAUUAAAUACAAGGAAAAUAGCCAGGAAAACCUGGAAAAGGAAUAUCCUACUACUGUCAACUUCGUAAGGAGUAGCACCUCGCAAGUGCUAAUUGAUUUUAAGAUGGGAAGAGAUUCGAAAGCUGGAUAGCAGAAGAGUAAUUAUUCACCUCAUCAAACAGGCUGUUCUUUCUUUCUUUUGACAUAAAGUAGAAUUAAAGGCAAUCAUAAGAGAAAUCAUCACAAAAACAAAAUCUGAACUAGACUAACAGGGAACACACAGUCAAUAAGCAGCUAUCCCAAUUAAUAAAUCCGCAAGUACUGAUAUAAAAAGAGAAUCAAUAUAACAAAUUUACUGCUAAGUUGCUAAUAAGAUUAAGCACAUAGAAGGUUUUUGGCAGAAUUCCAACACAGGCAUCAUCUAAUGGUAUAAUGAAGGAAUCGAAUAAACGGACAACUAAAAAGUGAAAUAAUUUAUAAUUUGCGAACACUUGAUGACUAUAUUAUUUAUAACAUUAUAUGAAAGGAAACCCAGGCAGUUUCCCGGGCGUUGCCACAAGGCUCCGUCUGGGUUUCCCUUCAAUGAAGAAGAUUAUUGGCUGUACCAGGUGUAUACUUACAUCCGAUGGACUGCACUUUAUAUUUGAUGAUUUGGGCUCUAAAUUCAAUUUUUAAUCUAAUAUAUUUGAUCUCCAAUAUGAUAAUAUCUCAAAGAAGACAUGUCAAAACAAAAAACAUCAUGAAUUUCAAAGGUAUGCUACUUACGUAUCAUGUUGUAUAAAAAAUCAACUGUGGAGGGGUCAUUAUUUGAUUUGUACAGAUAUGAUGUUCAUGUAUUUUAUAUAUAGGCACUUUAAAUAUUGGAAAAAUAUAUCUAAUCGGCUAGGUUUCCAUUUUAUAACCCCCUAUGAUAUUGUUUUAGAAGAAAUAUUGGAAAAAUAUAUCUAAUCGACUAGGUUUCCAUUUUAUAACCCCCUAUGAUAUUGUUUUAGAAGUAUGGUGUUGUUUUAGAAGUACGGUGUACAAUGUCCUUAUUCACCUCGUGCAGACAACAGUUUCUCCAUCAAAUGAGAGAGUAAAAUCUAUGAGACAAUCCCUGUACUAUUCAAAUAUUGUAAAUUAGCCCUUCUACUUUUUACUUAAACAAUUUAGUCUCUAAAGUUUGGCAUGUGUUAUUACUCUAUUCUCUGCAUAUAUAUAUAUAUAUAUAUAUAUAUAGAGAGAGAGAGAGAGAGAGAGAGAGAGAGUCCGGCUAUGGUGCUUGUAAAAGUACCAAGUAUUUAGUGCUUGUAAAUUUUUUACCGUUAGAUCUACGCCUUUGAUCAUUUUCACCCGUUAGAUUAUACUAUUCAACCAACCAUCCACUUAACCCUAGGGGGCCCACAUCAUCUUAACCGCAUAUCCCUUAAUCCAAGGGCUAAAAACUUACAAGCACCAAUGACUUGGUACUUUUAAAAGCAUAGGAGCUCAAUUCUAUAUAUAUAUAUAUAUAUAUAUAUAUAUAUAUAGAUUUUUGCUGUAAAAUAAUUAUUUUUUAUUUUUCAUGAAAUUUAGCACAUUUUCUUGCCAUCCCGUGGUUUGUAAGUUCUACUUUGCUAUCUACAUCAACAAUUUAUCAAUAUUCAGCCAACUAAAUUAGAUUGUGCGACUUGAUUGCAACAAUUGAAGAAGGUCAAGUCAGAAAUUGCAACAAAUUGAAAUAUAAAGACCAAAGUGUCACCCGCCUCAUAGUUUGACGGCCAAAAGUGUAAUUUACUUUUUUUCAAUAAUGAACUAGAACAUAUAUUAAAAAUUGAGCCAAACUUCAGAAGGAUUUAUUAUACAUUUUUUCUUUGCAAAAGCCUAUUUUUACUUAUUGCAUUCUUGCAAAUAAUAUAAAAAAUUGUACAUCAAACUCCUACAGCAUUUCGUAGAAACGUAUGGAGACCCCCUCAUCUAUAGUACAUUCUAAAAUGGCCUCUUGAAGUUCUUUUUUUUCACAACCCUUAAUUCCCUACUUUUUAACUUAUUUUGUUGAACAAUAUUGAGAAUUUGAUUAUAUCAUUGAUUUGAUGAACUUUAAAUAUUUUAGUAGGUGGCUACAAAAUUAAAUUAAAAUAAUUAGUAACUAAUAAUUAAUAAAGCUAUUAAAUUGAAUAAACCUCAAUAAAGCCCUAUGAUUUUGCACACUUUUGCUUUGCCAUUCUGUGAUUUUGUGCACUUUUGUUAUUUCGUAGUUUGUAAAAUAAAUCAAUUUACUAUAACAUUUGUUUAUCCAACUCAAUGCUGUAUUCUUAUAAUGAUUAAAAAAAUAAAAUCGCAGCACAGUAAAAUAAAACUUUUUAAACCAUCGGGUCAUAAAAUAAAAAUGUACUAAACCACAUAGAAACAAAUUGCAAAUUUUUCUAGUAUAGUUUUUUAAAAAAAUAUUUGUCUGAAACUUUUGAAACCAUCAAUAAAAAUAUAAAAAUAAAUCAAGGUGAGGAGGCAUUCCAAAAUAUCCUAGAGUUGGACGGUGUCCAUUCCUUCCAACUAUGAGCAGGCGAGUGGGGCUCACCUUUCAGUUGGUGAGAAUGGGGGGCGUAGGAGAAUAGGGCCCAGGUGGAGCCCAGCUUACAAUUAAUGAAUCUUUUACUCUACAGUUGUCGUCAUUGUCUUUUCAAUCGCAUCAGCGUCAACUUUGCCACUUACCUCAUUAAUAAAGUCAUAACUCGAGAUCAUCACCAGCAUUGAUGGUUGGUGUGACUCCUAUGCGAGAUCGAUACAUGUUGCCUUCUCCAUUGCAUCCGCGUUUCUUUCGCUCUGUACCUUAUUAAUGAGUGUCUCUCUCGGCUCUAUCGCGGCGUGGAUGACUGUCGUGGACUUUAGGGGAUAGGGCACCUCCCUUACCUCAAUAAUGUUGACUUCGUAUGAUCCUGCCACCGCCGAUAGAUAACCCGUAGAUAGAGGCCAGAUCAGCCGUACACAACCAUCUCUCCAACCUCAUUUUCCUCAUUUUCCCUACACCCCCACCCCCUUUGUUCGUGGUUACUAUAUAGAUAGACCCUCUACCUUCCGUGGUGCACUAGUGCUUUCUCCGUUGCCACUUUCUAUUAUUGUUUCAGCGCCGAUUGGCUGUGGGUCCUUUGUGAUCUCACCGCCGGCUGAUGUUGCUUUACUCCGGGUAGGUAUGGGUCCAUUGUUGUUUCCUGCCGGUCGACACCACUUUGCUGCGUCUGCAGGUUGUCCUGCACCUUUGCUUAUCUCUGUUUACUCUAUUUCUUUUAAUUUUUUCCUUUAAAUAUAUUGAUUUAUGCAAUUUACUUCAGCUCUGUUAUUAUUGAGUAGAGACAUUUAUAUUUGGCACCAGAUCAUCCCACUGCUAGUUACUUUCCUGUGGUAAAGCUGUAAGUUCUUCUGCUACUAUUACCGCCCUUGUUUGUUUCCUUCUUUUUCUGUGCGUAUAUACGUAUAAACCCUAUUCUGUUUGGUCUUUUCUACACUUUUGUUAGCCUUCUCUUAUAAAUUUGCAUUCUUCCUCCCACUUCCGUGGAAAGAGAAAAGGAAGGCCAGCUUAGUCUCCAAGCACAAACAUUAUAAAAUCAAUCUAUCUUAUACCUCUUAUAUCAAUUCUUCCCCAAAUUUAUUCUUCAAUAAUUAUUAAUUGUAGUCCGAAUUUUUUAUAUGCAGCCAACAUCUCCAGACUUCAUUGCCCAGCACGUACUUCGGAUAUCUUCAACAAUGUACUUUCAUUCCUUCAUGUCAGGUAUUCUUUUAUAUUAUAAAGUGGGACUUUUUAUUUUGUUUUAAGUAAUUUAGUUUUAUUAAAUUGAUGAUUUAUAAACAUUAUGUCUCUUGGAGCUAUUAAACGUUAAAUAUGUCAACUUCACCUUAAUAAUAUUUAGGAUUAAUGAUUAUGAUUUAAUCUUUUAGUGAUAAUACAUAUCUUGGGCCAUUUCAGUUUCAUUCUAAAUAACAGGUUGCUUCGGUUGUAUGCUUUACUAUAUUCUUUAAGUACGUAUUAGAAAUUCACUUCAAGAAGUUAAAAGAAAUGAUCAUUGACUUGAUUAUGGGUCGCGCAGGCAUGCAAUACUUGAAGACAUCAUACAAAAAAAAAUAUUUGAGCAAAUUACUGACCAGUUGAACCGUACCUACACCCCGAUAUUCUUUAGUUGAACAUAGCGAUGGAUCAACCAAAGCCUAUGUAGAAAUUGAGAUGCCUAUCGAUGAAGGGUUGACUAAGAUUGCUAAGCUAUGGGGUGAUGUUAAUAAUGUUAGUUUGCAGUCAAAAGGGCAAGCUGCCAAUUUGGCAAUGAAAUAUUUAAAGAUUGCCUAUACCUUUUUAAGUGAUUGAUGCCAGCUUUGAUGAUGCCAUGUAUUUCAAAUAUAUGUAGGAACGAAUUUCUGUAACAUAUGAUGCUCUACUUUGCGACUAUAGGCAGAUUAAGCAGCACAAUGACGUUGUGUUAGGCAUCUGAAAUAUUGUAAAGUAUCUGUUCGUAGAAUGUCACUCACUGUUUUGGGAGAUAUAGUAGAGCAAUAUUUUGGGUUUUGUCAUAUGUUGUCUUAUUAAUUAGCAGCUGUACAAAAUCUUCUGGCUAGAGAAAGUUCUCUGAUAAUUAUGUAAUGUAUAUUUUGUGUAAUAUGAAGUGCUCUUUUUAUAAUCCUGCUUAUUCUGCUUCUAAAUAAUUGUACAAGAAAUAACGUCGUAUUGGGCGAACAUUGGUUCAGCUCAUCCAAUCUGUUCACAGAUAUAAAUAUACUGAUCACAAACUUAGAUAGGCAAUAACCGGUUAAACUCAUAUUCUUUUUCUACCAGGGACUAUGUUAUCCCGCUGCGAAGCGCGGGAAGUGCACUAGUAUAUCAAAUAAUAGAUAGCGCAAAACCAUUGAACUUCACAUGCAUUUUGUGAGAGAAUCAUAAUCAUGAAAAAUACUUAAUAUGCGAAAAAGUAAAUGGCCUAAUCAAUACUAUUCAGAAGAUUAUAUCUCAAUGAACAAAAGAUAAUACUCAGAUGACAUACUUACAUCUUGUCGCUAAUUUCCUCUAGUAAGUUCAUGAGCUUCUUAGCUAGUUUCUGUCUCCUAUAUUCUGGAGCAACAGUAACUGCAGUUACAUGGCCAUGCCAAGAUUCACCUUGCCCUUCAACUUUACCCAUAACUGAAAAUGAAGAUGUUUGCCCAUUAUCAUAUGUCGACAAUGGAGUGAGGGAACAAGAGUAACAGCUUAGAGCUUAUAAACAUGAAGAAAUGUCACCGUCCUUUAAUCAAUGCAUGUCAAAAUAGUUUCAAUUUUGGACUAGAAAAUAAAAAGGAUCAUGCGGGUCUGAAACAUGUUUAUUCUAUGGUGCUAAGAUUAAGGACAGUAUGUUGUUAUAUUCUAAAGCUGGUAAAAAUGCCCACAAAGCGAGUUAGGCACCAAAUACAAAGAGAGAAAGAGAGAGACAUAGGGGUAAAAAAGAAGGCAUGGUCAAGCACGUGAGUAAUCAAGUUAAAUGCUAGACUCCUGCACAUCCUAACUUAUGGUUGAUCAUAUAUUACAUGGCAACUAACAAAUCCCUAUCCAUAUACAUUUCAGCUAAGACAAAAUAUAAUCUCACAAUUGAAGAGAAUAAAAAAAAAUAACAUCCAAACUUAAUGUAAGGAGGUUAUAAUUUACAAGUAAUCAACCAGCAAUAAGAAAAGUUUUUUUUUUCUUUAAGAAUGAACUUCUAGUUGGUAUUUUGGUUCAUACAUAUGUAGAAUUCUGUAUGGAGAUAUUUAUAUGAGGAAUUCCUAGAUGUUCUUACUUAGAGAUAUCAUGUCAUUGCAUAGAUAUUUAUAAUUUUUAAAGUUUCAGUUGAUAUAGGUAUUGCUUUUUAACUGACUGGUAUCUCAAUUUUUCAUUAAUCCACCAAGCUUGCAUAUUAUCGCCUUAUGAUAAGUGCAUGAAUGUAUCGUAGCUCGGGCACUAAGAAAGCAUGACUAUUACACUAAAGCAUAAUUAAGUUGUCAAGCCGGCAAAAACCCAUGCUUAAGAAGAGUCCUUGGCUGGUUGCAGUUCAUUCAUAUAAAGUGUUGCCCUACCCAUUUAUUUUUUUUAUUUACUCUUUUCACACACACCCCUUUGGAUCGAUCUCUCUUAACCUGCUCAGAAAACAGCUGCAAUGACAAAUGACGACGACUGUUAGCCGGUUUCUCUAAAAGUGAUGGAGGCCAAAAGCACUCCAGAAUAACCUCACCUAUAUAUGAUGCUUUCAAUGUAUUCGGAUUUAUUAGAAGAGAUAGUUGAUGCAUUUGGAUACAAAGGGAAUAUGUUAUGCUAGACUCCAAAAGAUUAACAAAUGAAUCACUCCAUCUUGGAGUUCACUGCUAUAAGCAAUCUCGAGAGAUCUCAUACUCUCCCAUCCUGCCUAUAACACCAACUUUUUAAGAACCAUGUCAAAUUCGUAAGAGACAGUGGGGUUUUAAAAUGAAUCUCUUCAGCAUUGGUAUGAACAAUAGAUUGGAUUUGUAGAGUAGAAACCUGGUCAAGCUCAACAUGGAAAAGAAAAGGUUGACGAAGUGCAAUAAUAAAAAGACGCCUUCUUCUCGAACACCACACCCAAAGAUAUGUUGGUAUGCUAAGGAUGAUCAUCUCUUAACAAACGUCUCCUCAUUUUUAGAGGAAAAGACAUCUCCUAACCCAUUCACAUCUAUGGAAGCACAGACUGGUAGACAGAAGAUAACUUUUUAUCAAUUGGAUAAUUUUUGACACAGAAAUGACAAGGGUUUUCGGAUGCUCGUAAGCACAUAAGGAUAAAUUCCAAAACAACUCUAAUUUUGAGGACAAACUACACGUAAAGCUAUUGCUAUCAUUGCUACCAUGGAAGUCCAAUUAAUGAUUAAUAUUGAAAGGAGUAAUUGUCCUAUAUAAGUCGAUUCACCAUCCAAUCAAGAAGUUAGCAUAGUCUAUAGGUAUUUGAACUAUCUAACUUGAGGGGUGAUUGAUCACAAAGUAAAGGGACUGCAAAGAUUUUGAAAGUUUACUAUAUUGUAGUAGUUUUCAAAUGUGAAAAUGAUAUUUCAACUAUUAAAUGACUAAAAAGGUAAAAAGGAUAUUCUAUUGCAGUCCCUAAAAUAAGAUGCAUCGAAGAAUUAGAAUGUAUAAAUCUCCAAUAAAGUUCAAACACACGGUUCACUUUUACCAUUCCAUGCCCCUAGAGAUACAGAUCCAUAAUGGGUAGCCAUUCUACUUUAAUUUCCUCUAUUUUUCGGUUAUCCUGUAUUUUCAAAAUAAUGGGGAGUCAUUCUACAAUCAGGUCCUGCAUUUUUUUCAAGUUUAUGCCACAUGAAAAAAAAAGUUCACAAUUAGAUAACUCGCAUAAGUUAACCAAAGGAUUAUGGAUUAUUUGAUUGUUAAAGAGUAGGCGAGUGGGCAUAAACAAGAUUAAUAGCAUAAAAAAGAACAAAUGCAACUCAAGCAAAUGCAGUAAAAUAAUUUCUUUGUAAAAACAUAUUCUUUUGAAUAUUUGGUAUUUGCUUAAAAGAACAAAUUUAAGAUAGAAACUCAUCCACUGCUUGAUGAAAUAAAUUAUUGGAUAAGUCCAUUUUGGUUAUUAUUUGAAUAGUAGAUAUCAAUUAAUAUUUGCUGCAAGAAAUUUUUAUACUCCAUGAAUGAGAUUUAAGCGUGCAAGUCCUCCCCCUCCCUCCCUCUCUCUCACGCACGCAGCUACUUUUAGAAUAAGCAAUCCACCACAAUAACACCUGUUGACCUAUACAUUGCCAUACAACAGUCCAUCAGCACCUUUCAAAAUCCAACCGGCAUUGACUCUGAGAGCCCCAGACAAAUUACAACCAUUUAAUUACUGUAAAGAAGCUGUUCUUUGACUAGGAUAGUAAAUUUAAGCCAAUUACUGAUAAUAACCUUAAACAAUCACUUCCCAUUGACUAAGGGAACAAAAGGAACACCUAUAACAGUCAUUGGCAUCCUUGAUAUCUCAGUCCAACCCACAAAAAAUAAAGAAUUUGUCAUCACCGUACACCUUUCACAGGACCAUCCAUGUCUCAAAGACAAUGUCUCUAUUAAGGUAUUCUUCAAACCAAAUUGGCAGAGAGAAAAUCAACAAGCUUCGAUUCCUAACCACCAUAGAGUUCCAAAAAAAACCUUAAAUGUCAAGUACGAGGAUAAUUUAAGAGCCCAGACGAAUCUAGGUCAUGGUAACAUAAAUAGCUGAAAUUUUAUUAGUAGCAGAAUCAUCAUAACCAUAGCUAUCCUCUACAGCUCUACUCUAUUAUUAGCAUGUGCCAUAGAAUCAAACCUUCGUAAAGAACCCUAAGGGCUUGUUUGGCUCACGUAUUUUAGAUUCUAAAAUCGGAAUGGAAUUCACUAAUUUCCGAUAAUUGUUGUUUAUUUUGUAGGAAUAAGAUUCCCAUUCCCGUUCCACUUUGGAAUGGAAAUGACCCAAUCCAUUUAUGCCCCACUCCAGCUUUGAAACCUGGAUUGGCCCAUUCUAGAGUAACACCUCUCCCCCCUUCUUCUUUAACCAAAACUCUCUCUCAAAAUCCUAGAUACCAUGAACCAAACGUUUUUGGAUGAUUCGUCAUUCCACUUUUCCAUUCCAAUGCAAUUCAAUUCCAUUUCCCAUUCCAAUCACGAACCAGACAUGCCCUAACUAUUCCCUCUAUAACUUUGCGAUUUAGGAACCUCCCGGCCCCAAUUGCCACCUACCACUCUCCGAAACAUGAACCCAAAGCAAGACCCAUGCCAUACACCAUCCAACCAUCUCCUAAAAAAGCACCAAUUUUUCUCUCAAGCCCAGCAUCAAACACCUUAAGUGCAAGCGCAAGCACACUACCAAACAAAUUGUUUCCCAAUCAAAUGCGUCGGAGCACAACACAAAUCACNAAAAAAAAAAAAAAAAAAAAAAAGUGUGAGGAUUAGAGAUGCUCACUGUAACCCAUGAUCCGGUUUCCGGGGCUCUCCGCGACGUGGAAGUAGUCGGGCCACCGCGCGAGGUACGUCAUGUAAAACGACAUGUUAAACUGUUUUUCAUAACUUGUUAACAUCACCAAUCUUAGAGAAAUUGGAAUAGAGACAAAGCGUCAUAUACAUACAUAUACAUAUAUAUAUAUAUAGAGAGAGAGAGAGAGAGAGAGAGAGGGAGAGAAGGGGGGGAGGCAUACGGUUUCGGUGAGGUGGUCGAGAUUGACGGAGGCGAAGCGGAGGAGGUCGUCGCAGCAGAAGCGGCGGAUGGUCGUCAUUGCUGUCGGUCGGAGCGGAAGCUGCUGCUGCCUGCUGUCUGCCGUCUGCUGUCUGCCGUCUGCCGACUGCUUCUCGGCGCUGCUUUUGCCGCCUUCGCCCUCUCUGCAGACUGCAGUUGCUGUUCGGAGUUUCGAGAGAUUCGCGUCAAGAUUCGGCGUCUUAUAUGCUGGUCUCGCGUUUACGCCCAAAUUUUAUAAGGGUCGGUUGGUUUAGAUUCUGAAAGAUAUACUUUCAAGAUCAAAAGCUAUUUUUCAUUGAAUAGAGUGUUUAGUAAUUUUCAUUCUGAUUUUUAGAAUUAGUUUCUGAUGUUGAAAGACAUAUUUUUAAGAUCAAAAGUGAUUUAUCAUAGAACACCUUUUUUUUUUUCACGCUGGAAUAAGAAUCAGAAUGGAUGAAUUCGUUUGUUAGUGUUUGGUAUACGUGAUUUCCAUCCGAUUUCGAUUUUCGCGUGUGAAUGAGAAUCCCCAAAUUACUCCUUUUUCCAAUCCUGCCCCCCAGACCGUAUUGAAAAUUGAAUUCGGGCGGAAUGGAUUUAUUCGCAUUAAUCUUAACAUAUUUAAACUUAUUUCUCAAUUAAAACAUAAGUUUAAAAUUUAUGUUUAUAAAUUUAAAUUUUAAUUUGAACUUAAAUUAAAAAUUAAAAUUCAAUCAAAUAUUUCGAAUUUAAUUUAUAAAUUUGAAUUUAAAUUUAACUUUAAUUUAAAAUUGAACGUUUUAUUCAAAUUUUAUUUAAAAUUUAAAUUAAAUUUAUAGAUUCAAAUUGAAAUUUAAAUUAUAAUUUUAAGUUUGAAUUUGGAUAAAUUGAAUUUUAAUUUUAUAUUUUGAAUUAUUCAUUCAAUUUUAAAUUUUAAUUUUUUAAAAAAUAUGUUCAAAAUUUUGACAUCAUUUUAAUUUUAACGUAAAUUUUUAAUAUUUAAUUUUCAGUUUGAAUUUAAGCUAAUAUAUUAGAAAGAUAAAAUCGGCAUAUUAAUUUGAUUACGUUUCUGAUAUCUAUCUGAACCAAAUACCGACAAUUAGAAUGAUUUAUUUCGAUUUCCGAUUCAUAUGGUUAACCAAACAGAAUGAGAUAAGGAAUCACUUCGAUUCCGUUUACAACUUAUUCUCAUUCCGAUUUCGAUUCGAACCAAACACACCCUCUUUAGUAAUUUUGAUUCUGGUUUUUAGAAUUAGUUUCUGAUUUUAAAAGGUUAAAAUUAAAAAUAAUUAAAAUAUGCUUCUCGAAAUUUAAUUCUGAUUUUAAACUCAAAUAUUAAAUUUAAAUAUAAAUUUUAGAUUUAAAUAUUAAAUUUCAUAUUUUAAAUUUCUAAAUUUUUAAAAUUUUAAGUUUGAAUUUUAAAAUUUUAAAUUAAAAGAAAAAGGAAACUGUGAAAUUAUAUGCAACAAUCAUUACAGGGCUUCAAAGUUUUUUUUUUUUUUUGAGGAAAACUGUCCGAGUGCGAAAAUUUAUUUAAACAAAACAACCGUUAUGGAACUUCCUAGUUGAUAUUUGAAAUUUCAAACUUGAAACUUAGUUAUUUUAUAUUUCUUGCUGAGAUCAUUCCUAAAAUUAAACAAAUCAAAUAGUAUAGUAUGCGGCUACCUUUUGUUAAAAAAAAAAGAAAAGAAAAAUAAAGCGUUAAAUGUUGUUCGAAACUGGCAUUUUAUUAUUUAAUAUUUGCUCUCCCUCAUGUGUGGAUUACUAUAAGCGGGCACAAGAUAUUUUUUGAUAGGCUCAAGAUAUAGACUUAAAUUAAGUAGUAUGUAAUUAGAACUUUCUGAUCCAAUACCAUGCAAAUUAAAUGAAAAAACUGAGAGCAACAUUUUAUUGUCAUAUAUUCAAUAAAAACUUACCUAGAUUAUACCCUAUUUUGAUCCAACUAUUUGAUAUUUAAAAGUUUUGAUUUUACCAUCCAGUCUUGUAUUUUAAGUUUAAGUCAUUAAAUGACUCUUACACUUUAUAAUUUAAAUAUGUCCUUUAUUUUUAUAAAUAGUUUGUAUGAGUAAAAUUCCAUUUAAAUAAGUAUCUGUCUUAGAUUUUCCACUAGAAGAGCCAUUAAAUGGCUCAAAAUCAAAUAAAUUAAAAAAUUAUGUAUGGUAAUUGGGAGCCAUACGAUUCCUAGUCCCAAUGCUAGCGAGAUUUUAUCAUCAGUUGGAUAUAAAUUUGCAUACAAAAAUUGUACGGCCAUCAUUCCCAAACUACUAGUUUACAGACGGUGUGGAUUGACGCUGCAUGACGAGCACGUGCCCAUUUGACCUCCAUGUUUCUUCCUUUGCUUCUUUAUCUCUCUCUCUCUCUCUCUAAAAAUUAGGAUGCAUAAUUUUUUUCACUGCUCGUGCGAUGAGCGUGUGCUCGCCACGCGGCGCCCAUCCGCAUCAUCCCCGGACUAGUAGUCCGGGGACGAUGCCUAUACAAUUUUUGCCCUAGAUUUGCCAAGCAAGUUUGCAAGGCCAUGAAAGAAUUUUGGCUCCGAAUUUGUUGACCUGAUCCAUUCCAAUAAGCCGAAGAAUAUUCCAAUUCUUGUCAUUAUAAAAAAUUAUAAAAGAAAAUAUAAGCGCUUUCGAAAUUUUUUGGCCUUUCAUAGUAUAAAGCCAGUAUUUUUAGCCGUCGCAAUACCAAACUACAUCUUACUUCCAGUAGAAUCAGAAGCACAAAACUAGAGCUUAUAAUUUUGAAGCUUUAAAACUCAUUCCAACUUCCUAUCAUGGUAAACAUCUUGAUCAAGGUCUCAAAGAUGACUGCAGCUACAAGCAAAAUCAGACGCGCAGCCGAAUUGGAAUUUCAGAUACUGAAUAUCACACGACAACCACACCGAAAAUCUACCAAUUUACGAAUUAAAAUCCGUCCAAAUUAUGAAUUCGGAUUACCAUGCACCCAAACAAGAAAAGUAUCUUAAGGAAAAAUGAACUCGAAUUUGAUCCAAACAACUAACAUGUGUGUUGCAAAAUAGGGUUUGAAAGGUUUCCGUGACAGAACAAGCUCAGUUUACUUAAAUCUGAGUCAAACAAAAACUAAGAAGUUAAGCGAUCGCCGCAACACUGCUGCAGCAGCUACACCGAACCCGGCACAUGCAGUUUUAAUAAUUUUAAGUCGAUUAACAUUUCUGUAUUAUUAGAAGGUCCAUAAGAAACUCACAGAAUCACCAAUUACAUCGACAGGACGAUAAUCAGCAUCACACCAGGCUACCUUAUAGAGGACUGUUAUGGCACUAAGGAUGGACCAAAUACACAAUGUUCAAGGCAUCACUUUCGGAUAAAUGAAAUAAGCAAUUCAUAUGCUGCCUCGACAACUACAGUUGUAACUCAAAUGCUUACAUUCUUAAGCAAUGCAAAUAGAUGGGAGAGGUUAAAACUUACCAACCUUACCUGAACUACAGUGCAUUUUGCAAUAGGCAUCUAAACUCUAAUAAGAGGACUUUAAAGAGUUUUGAUCUAACCUAACCUAACUAUACAGUAUUCUCAAAAUAGGUACUUGAAAAUUUCCUGAUUCUACGACCCAAUGUUACAUUAUUUGCAAGACCUUUUAUAGAAUAUUCCAUUAUCUAGAACGAAAAGUAUAAUAUUUUACGGAAUAUUCCACACAAAGUGCUAAAAUAUCUUGUUAGGUCGGGCAGUAAAAUCAGACCGUUUAAAGUUCACUUCUCUAUUUCAGAAUACUGUAAUGUUAGGUACUAAAAUCAAGACUUUCGACAUUUAGGUUUACUUUCCAGAAAGCGGGGGCUGAGAAAAUGUUUGGAUACCUAUGUCUUAAAUGCGUCAUAGAUCACGUGAGGUUUGCAAGUUUUUAAUGCUGAAAAAUAUGGGAAUCUAUGCUGCUGCAAUGCAUUGCAGCCUUUCUUCAGAGCCAGAACCCCUCGCCUUCUGCUCUGCAAGAAGCGAUUGCAGAUCACUCCCGUUCGCCAAGCUAUUGAACUCCACCGACCUGGACGGAUCCGUUGGGUACCGCCGUUGGCAGAAGGUCAUUAGCCUCUUCACGGAUUGCAAGUACUUGCGCGUGAUCUCAUCAUUCAUGAUGUGAGACACACUGUUGGUGUAUAUCUUCUCACGGGCCGAGCGCUCGUGGAUACCGACCAUCGUCACACCGAUCGGCCAUGGUGCAUUUCCGAUAGCCAGCUUGAUGUACUGGUCCAUGGCACCCAGGUAAUCCCGUCUCGUGCAGCAUUCCACAACUACUAGUAGCGCUUUUCGGAUGUCAUCUGGGAGAGCCUGCAUGACGUAUGACCAUUGAGUUCAAAUGGUUGAAAAGUUGAAUCAGCAAACGUAAUAAGAGAAAUUCACCGUGCUGUUAAUUUAGCUUUUCUAAAGAAUGAUUUACUCUAGGGCUAUGACUUGUAAAUUUGUAAGAUAAAUUUCGAUAUAUGUAAGAAACACACCUAUUGUUUUACAAGUUGCUAUGUCAGUGACGUCACUCCCUUUCGAUUUACGACAGUUUGAAACCGAACCAUGAGCUUAACACCAUACGUACUCAUGGUUCCGGGAGGGUGAAGAUAGAUGGCCAAAAACAUCAGAAGUUGCGACCCCAAGGUGCUCAAACCUAUCUGUUGGAUACAGAGUACGUAGUCAUUCUAGCUAAUAGAGGGUGCGACGUUUUUCUUCUUUUUGCAACAACUAAAUUACCAACAAGCUAUUGUUAACUCCAAAGUUCAAGUUAUAUCAGUGUGUAAACAACCAGGAAUCAACAAAAGUCAAAUUAUACGUUUAAAUUGAAGAUAAAUGAACGAGUACCAGAGAGAGUAGAGGAGUGCGUUAGACAUUUCACGAGUCCAUAUAAAAAUAGCACUGUUGUAUUUCUGCCCAUCAACUUGGUAUCUGUGAAUUCAUAACAUCGCCCACCUAUACAUGGGCAAAAGAGAGUCAUCAAAGGAAAACCUCAUUCCGUCCCCGCAAAUAGUAUGCGGAGGACAUGCAUAAUCCAUAGAGUUACGACUUCAAUCCAUUUUAAAUAAAAAAGACUACGCAACAGGUAUAAUCUCAGAUCUGUUGCCUUCGGCGACAAAUUACAAUGUUUGACGACAUUAAAGUUAAGAACUCUGUAUUAGUUGCUAGUUUUCUUACUCCAUGACUAAAUUUUCUUUCUCAUAAGAAUAUACCACUUUUUCCAUAGUGAUCCGGUUAUGAACAUAAUAUGAAGUGAUAACGAUGUUUCACACAUUCUUCUUUAAUUUCGAAUAAUGAGAACACAGCAUGUUACGUAAAUCAAAAGGAUGGAGUAAAUUGUAGAUGAAUUAUAGCCAAAAUUGAAGAAACAAUUAAUAGAACACAAAAUGUUACCUUUUUCCUGCACAUCUUGAACAGCGGAUUCAUGUAUCGCGCGCACUGCUUAUAGGUCGCGACGACCGACUUCCCCUUUGCCGUCCUCUUCUCCGCCUCCGGCAUCUCCUCCACCUCGCGAUUCCACUCAUCGAGAAGCCUCUUGAAGAACACAAGAAUCUUAUCCUCACCGUAAAGCUCCUUCCAACCCACCUGCAUCUUCUUCGCAUCAUCUUUAUCCGCAUCCGCUGCCGCCGCCGCGGCUCCGUCCCCACCCUCCUCCUUAUCCCCGUCGCCAUUGCCGCCGCCGAAGCGCUUCUGCUUCCUGCGGAGGUCGUAGAUGUCGCGGAGGAAGUCGUUGACCUGCCCCUCCAUCAUCUCGGCGUCGUCGUCGAUCUCGACGGGGCCGGACUCGACCGCCGAGCGGAGGCGGCGGAGGCGCGCGGCGUCGUCCUCGCCGAAGAGGGUGAUCGGCUGCCUGAGCACGCGGAGCCGCCGGAUCACCUCGUGCCGCGGCAGAUCCCCAGUUUCGGGAUCGGGGGAUCGGGAUCCGGGGCUAGGGUUAGGGUUUGAAGCGGGGGAGGAGGGGCGGAGGGGAGGGGAUUUGCAUCGGAUUCGGCGGAGCUCCUCCUCUCGAAGCUUCUGGAUCUCCCUUCGCUCGAUCUCGGCGCGCUUCAGGAGUUUUCGGCCGCCGAGUUCCACUUCCAGGAUCUGGCGCUUCCGCCGAAGCUCGCGGUUCAGCAGAUCCAUCAGGAACCGGGAGGUGGUAACUGCUAACCGCUAAGGGAGGUGAGAAUCGUCUUAUUAUUUAUUUUCAUCAAUUAUGAAUUUUCACCCGCGUUUUCAAAUUUAGAGGGAAAUCGCCUGGUAUUCAAAAUUUUAUUCAAACUCGAAUUUGGAUGAAGCAGAUUUAUAUAAUACUAAAUAAAUAUAAUUUUGAAUAUCAAAACUAAAAAUUUGACCUACAUGAAUUCGAAUAUGAAUUUUAACUCUACCCGACCCUAACCCAAAUUUAUUUUUUAUAUUAUAUAUAAUAUAUAUAUUUAUAAAAAUUUGAUAUUAUAUUUAAAUUUAAAUUUAAUAUAAUAUAUUUUAAAAUAUUAAAAUGAAAAAUAAUUGUUUCGGGGUUCGAAUAUGAGUUUCAAAAUUUUGGCCGAAUUCGACUUUGGAUAUGAAUUUUUAAAAGUCGUUGGAUUCGAAUCCGAGUUCAAAUUAAAAGGUAUAAUGCCAUGUAUAGCCUUAUUAGAAAAAAAAUUUCCAAUGUAGCCUCCUUUUAAAAAAAAUUCCUAACCUAGCCUUCUUUCGAUAAUUAGAAAAAUAGUAUUUAUAUGCUAACUUGGAGAGAGAAAUUUUUUUCUCUCUCUCCUCCCACCNCGCCGGAUCACCUCGUGCCGUGGCAGAUCCCCAGUUUCGGGAUCGGGGGAUCGGGAUCCGGGGCUAGGGUUAGGGUUUGAAGCGGGGGAGGAGGGGCGGAGGGGAGGGGAUUUGCAUCGGAUUCGGCGGAGCUCCUCCUCUCGAAGCUUCUGGAUCUCCCUUCGCUCGAUCUCGGCGCGCUUCAGGAGUUUUCGGCCGCCGAAGUCCACUUCCAGGAUCUGGCGCUUCCGCCGAAGCUCGCGCUUCAGCAGAUCCAUCAGGAACCGGGACGUCGUAACUGCUAACCGCUACGGGAGGUGAGAAUCGUCUUAUUAUUUAUUUUCAUCAAUUAUGAAUUUUCACCCGCGUUUUCAAAUUUAGAGGGAAAUCGCCUGGUAUUCAAAAUUUUAUACGAAACAGAUUUAUAUAAUACUAAAUAAAUAUAAUUUUGAAUAUGAAUGCCAAAAAUAAAAAUUUGAUCCAUAUGAAUUCGAAUAUGAAUUUUAACUGUAGCCAAUCCUAAUCUGAAUUUAUUUUUUACAUUAUAUAUAAUAUGUAUAUAAAAAUUUGAUAUUAUAUUUAAAUUUAAAUUUAAAUAUAAUAUCAAAUUUUUAUAUACAUAUUAUAUAUAAUAUGUAUAUAAAAAUUUGAUAUUAUAUUUAAAUUUAAAUUUAAUAUAAUAUAUUUUAAAAUAUUAAAAAAAUAAUUGUUUCGGAGGAGUUCGUAUUCGAGUUUUGAAAUUUUGGUCGAAUUCGACUUUUGAUAUAAAUUUUUAAAAGUCGUUGGAUUCGAAUCCGGGGUCAAAUUUUUAAAAAUUUGCCCCGAAUUUGAUCCCCUGACAUCUCUAGAAUCUUCGCCUCUCGAAGCUUCCUUCGAUUUGAACGGAAGAGAAGUUAAAGAAACAGACGACCUUUCUGGAACGCGCGAAUUUCAUUUUUCUUUAAAUUUACGAUUAUACCCCUUGCAGUAGGAUGUCAACACGUAGGUUUAUUGCAACCUGGCUGUGAAUGUGACCCAAAAUGUUAAAUUUUAAUUCUAUUUUAUCUAAUAUAUAAAAAUUUAAAUUCAAAUUCGAACAAAUCAAAUUUUAAAAAUCAACAACUAAAUUCAUAUCCAAUGAAAAAAUUGGAAUCCGAAAAUCCAAACGCAAAAGCAAUCAUUUCUCGUUACCAAAUUUUAAAACAUAUUAUACUCAAAUUAUAUUUAAAAUUUAAAUUUAAAUUUUUACAUAUUAUAUAAAAUAGAGUAAGUUCGGGUUUAGUUCGAAUUCGAGUUCAGAUCAUAUAUAGAUAAAAAUCAUAUCCGUUUCGCGAAUUUGGUGCCAAAUUAAAGAAGUUUAUGCCUACGAGUUUUUCGAACGGAUAAGUUCAACUUUUUUUAUUUCGACAUUUACCGUCCUAAGUUUUUGUUAAUUUAAUUUCUAAACUUUUAAUAGUGUUUUGUCUUGAGUGAUUAAUUUUGUAUUAAAUCUAAUAAACUUUAUCAAAUAAUUUAAUUGGUUGAUGCCGUCAAUUGAAUUUACUAGCUAUACACUAAAUUUUAGUGGCAUGUCUAGCAUACAAUAUUAUAAAAUUUUAAAAUGCGAAAAAAGUUCAUCCUACAUAAUCUCUCUAAAAAACAAAACAUUAAAAAAAAAAUCAUUCCCCACGUGUAAACAAACAAUAGGAAACAAGAACAAUAAGUCCUAUUGUUUAAUCCUAGUGCUUAGUUAUCUAUAUCUAUAUCUAUAUAUAUAUACAAUCGAGAGUUCGUACGGCGUUCUCCCCGCGUUUUGCGGGGGGCCUCGCGAGAGAGAGAGAGAGGGAGAGAGAGAGAACAGAGGGAGGAGAGAGAGAGAGCAUACAGAGAGAGGGGGAGAGAGAGAGAACAGAGAGAGAGAGAGAGAGAGCAGAGUAGAGAGAGAGCGAGGCGUGGGGGGGGCUGCGCGCGGGCGAACCGCGCCCGCCGGGCGCGCGCGCGCGUGCGAGCAAGAGAGAGAGAGAGAGAGAGAGAGAGAGAGAGAGAGCAGACAGAGGGGGGAUGCGGGCCCCUCCCCCUCACCCCCGCGGGUCUCUCUCUCACUCUCUCUCCCCCUCUCUCCACCCCCANNNNNNNNNCGUUAAUACUACAUAUUAUGUAAAAUGACAAUUUUACCCUCCAACAACCCUAAUCUAAUUAACAGCACUAUUUUCAUCUCUCUCUCUCGCCUUCCCCCCUCUCUCUCGCACACCGCUUUCUCUCGCUCUCUCUCUCUCUCGACGUCUCUCUCUCUCUCUCUCGCACGAACACGUAUCAUCUUCUAUUGCGUCGUCCUCCCAGGUAAUCAUCACGAUCUCCUUCCCUCCAUUCGUCAUUUUCGCAAAAAAUAAUAUUCAAAUGACCACAACAAGGGUAAUUUUAGAAAAAACUAUACUUUUAUGUCAGGAUUACUAAAUUUUAUAAACUGAACCAAACGUAUUAAUGCUAUAAAUACUGUAAUCUAGUAUUACAUUACUGCAUUAAACCAAACGCGCUAAAGUAGCAUCAGUAGUAAUCUCACGUCGAAAUCCAAGAUAUCUGGAUAUAUCGAGUUACUUUGUAAUAUUACAUAACUCGAAUCAAACGGACCCUUAAGUCAUUUUUAUUUUCUAAUCCAUCAAAAAGAGACUAGAUUAGGAAUUUUUUUAAGAAGCAUUAGUUCAAAUUAAAAUUUGCCCCGAAUUCGAUCCCGUGACAUCUAUAGAAUCUUCGCCUCUCGAAGCUUCCUUCGAUUUGAACGGAAGAGAAAUUAAAGAAAGAGACGACCUUUCUGGAAGGCGCGAAUUUCGUUCUUCCAUAAAUUUACGAUUAUACCCCUUGCAGUAGGAUGUCAACACGUAGGUUUAUUGCAACCUGGCUAUGAAUGUAACCCAAAAUGUUAAAUUUUAAUUAUAUUUUAUCUAAUAUAUAAAAAUUUAAAUUUAAAUUCAAAUUCGAACAAAAUCAAAUUUUAAAAUCAACAACUAAAUUCAUAUCCAAUGAAAAAAUCAGAAUCCGAAAAUCCAAACGCAAAAGCAAUCAUUUCUCGUUACCAAAUUUUAAAACAUAUUAUACUCAAAUUAUAUUUAAAAUUUAAAUUUAAAUUUUUACAUAUUAUAUAAAAUAGAGUAAAUUCGGGUUUAGUUCAAAUUCGAGUUCAAAUCAUAUAUAGAUAAAAAUCAUAUCCAUUUCGCGAAUUUGGUGCCAAAUUAAAGAAGUUUAUGCCUACGAGUUUUUCGAACGGAUAAGUUCAACUUUUUUUAUUUCGGCAUUUACCGUCCUAAGUUUUUGUUGAAAUUCUAAUUUAAUUUCUAAAAUUUUAAUAGUGUUUUGUCUUGAGUGAUUAAUUUUGUAUUAAAUCUAAUAAACUUUAUCAAAUAAUUUAAUUGGUUGAUGCCGUCAAUUGAAUUUACUAGCUAUACACUAAAUUUUAGUGGCAUGUCUAGCAUACAAUAUUAUAAAAUUUUAAAAUGCGAAAAAAGUUCAUCCUACAUAAUCUCUCUAAAAAACAAAACAUUAAAAAAAAAAAUCAUUCCCCACGUGUAAACAAACAAUAGGAAACAAGAACAAUAAGUCCUAUUGUUUAAUCCUAGUGCUUAGUUAUUAUUACUAUAUUUUUAGACUUCGUUUGGUUCGGAAAUUAGUAGGAACUAGUUAUUUCAGAAAUAAUUACAAGUAUGAAUUUUUAUAAGAAUAAGAAUAUUUUUUUGUUUGAAUAAAAAUAUGAGUAUAAGCUGGAACUAGAAACAUUGUGUUUGGAUGGUUAUUGGAAAUAAAAGAAAUAGUUGAUAGUUGAAAAUUUCAAUAUUCCCAUAUUACCCCUCUCUUUUAAUAUGAAUUAUAACCAAUUAACGCUGGUAAAAAUUUUUUGGUUCAUGUAUUAAUUUUUUGAAAUCUACUAGAUUUUAAUUUUAAAAAUCUUUCAAAUUUUUUCGACUCGACCAACCCACCUCCUCAGAUCGUGCAAGCCACAAGGCGGAAUGGAGAGGGCGAAGAGGUGAAGUGCACCCCGACGGACAAAAAAUGGUGGUUUCCGCAGAUGGAGGAGAAGGCGAAGAGGAAAGAGAUGAGGGGGCGCGGGGGCUUUCCUUUGAUGCCCUCGGUACAAGAUCGGGCGGCUGUGACAAGUGCCCCUCAAAUCUAGGGUUCGGCUCGACCAACAAUAACUCUCAGACCGUGCAAGCCACGAGGUGGAACGAAGAAGGUGAAGAGGUUUAGCGGACCCCGACGGCGAAAAUGGUGGUUUUCGAAGAUGGGGGAGGCGGCGAAAAUGGUGGGUUCUGAAUAUGGGGGAGAAGGCGAAGAGGAAGGAGACAGAGGGAGCGCGUAGAGCUUUUCCUUGGAUGCCCUCGGUACAAGAGCGAGAAUAAGGGGUUGAAACAGCUUGUUCCAACCCCGGGUGGGAACUGUUGUUCCCUCUGUUAGCGGGUUAUCCCAGAGAUAACCCGCUAAGGUGGGAACAACAAUUUCCACCUAGAUGGAAUCUUAUUUGGGUACAAGAUGGGGUUUAAGCCCCUUAUACUCCAUCUUGUACCCAUUCCAAAUAGGAUGUUAAAGGUUAAAGCCCAUUGUCAUUUUAUUAAAAAAGAUAGAGUUUGAUUACAUCAUUAUUCAGUUUUGGGGAAUAAAAUAAAUGCAUUUUUACAAAAAUGAAGGAAAAAAUAUAAGUAUUUUCAAAACUAACUAAAAAGGAAAAGUAAAAUAAUGAUUCUCAAACCUAAGCAAGAAAUGAAAAAUAUAGAAAAAAACUUCAAAUACUACCGUUGUGGUUUUGUACUUUCUCACUUUAGUAUCCUGUGGUUUUAUUUUUUUCUUUUAAUUAUCUAUUUUACUAUUUUUCUUUGUUAAAUUAGUGAGAAAGUUAAAACUAAAGGGUAAUAAAAUGAAUAUUCGAUAAACCUAGCUGGAGUAUCUGAAGUUUUUUGUAUAUAAUUUAACAAAAUAUUAACGGAGAAGCUGAUGAAAAGAUAAAAAUGAAACCACAGGUAAUAACUUGAUACGUUUUAAACCACAGGAUAUUAAAGUUAGAAAGUGCGAAAUCAUAGGGGUGAUAUUUAAAGUUUACUCAAAAAGAUAUAAUGAAUGGUUUGCAAAUCUAAAUAUCAACCGACAAAUAAAUUAAGCUUUUAAAUAUUAAAGCUGAGGACAAAAAAAUAAAGGCCAAUUUGCAUAAAAAAUCCACUUAUUUUGGGCUUUUGCAAAACCGGGCUACCUUUUUCAUUUUUUCAGAUUCGCUCUCUGGGAAGAGAAAGAAAAAAAGAACGAGAGAAAAAAAAGAUGAGAGAGAAAAAGGUAUAAGGGUAUUUUGGUCAGUUUGCUGAAAAAGCGGACCGAAUCUGCAAAAAUGAAAAAGGUGGUCCGAUUUUACAAAAGUCCAAAAUAAGUAGAUUUUUUAUGCAAAUUGGCCAAAAAUAAAAUACAGAGAAGACAAUAGAUAAAAGCAAUCAUCGAGGCUCCGUUCUAAUUCCUACUUCUAUCCCUCGAACUAUAUUAGAACGCUCCUAUUUUCAAAUCUGCCAAGCUUCAGUACGGAAAAUAUUCAUGAACUCUGUAAUAUUUGAUAGAGUUAAAGAAGAGAGAAAUCCUCGAUAGUGAAAGAGCGAAGCAAGAAGGAGAAAAUGAACUAAAUGAUUGUGGAAAAAAACUUGAAGAAAAAUAUAGAAGAC